rnacentral:rRNA from 1 species
UGCUAAUACCGCAUAAGCCCACGGUACCGCAUGGUACUGAGGGAAAAGGAUUUAUUCGCUUUAGGAUGGACUCGCGUCCAAUUAGCUAGUUGGUGAGGUAACGGCCCACCAAGGCGACGAUUGGUAGCCGGACUGAGAGGUUGAACGGCCACAUUGGGACUGAGACACGGCCCAGACUCCUACGGGAGGCAGCAGUGGGGGAUAUUGCACAAUGGGGGAAACCCUGAUGCAGCGACGCCGCGUGGAGGAAGAAGGUUUUCGGAUUGUAAACUCCUGUCGUUAGGGACGAUAAUGACGGUACCUAACAAGAAAGCACCGGCUAACUACGUGCCAGCAGCCACGGUAAAACGUAGGGUGCAAGCGUUGUCCGGAAUUACUGGGUGUAAAGGGAGCGCAGGCGGGAAGACAAGUUGGAAGUGAAAACCAUGGGCUCAACCCAUGAAUUGCUUUCAAAACUGUUUUUCUUGAGUAGUGCAGAGGUAGAUGGAAUUCCCGGUGUAGCGGUGGAAUGCGUAGAUAUCGGGAGGAACACCAGUGGCGAAGGCGGUCUACUGGGCACCAACUGACGCUGAGGCUCGAAAGCAUGGGUAGCAAACAGGAUUAGAUACCCUGGUAGUCCAUGCC